rnacentral:rRNA from 1 species
GUGCAGCAGGCGAGAAACCUCCGCAAUACACGAAAGUGUGACGGGGCCAUCCCGAGUGCCGUCCGCUGAGGACGGCUUUUCCCCAGUGUACACAGCUGGGGGAAUAAGGAGAGGGCAAGCCUGGUGUCAGCCGCCGCGGUAAUACCAGCUCUCCGAGUGGUGGGGACGCUUAUUGGGCCUAAAGCAUCCGUAGCCGGCUGGGCAAGUCCUCCGUUAAAUCCAACGAUUCAAUCGUUGGGCUGCGGGGGAUACUGUCCAGCUUGGGGGCGGGAGAGGCCGACGGUAUUCCCGGGGUAGGGGUGAAAUCCUAUAAUCCCGGGAGGACCACCAGUGGCGAAGGCUGUCGGCUAGAACGCGCCCGACGGUGAGGGGAUGAAAGCUGGGGGAGCGAACCGGAUUAGAUACCCGCGUAGU